UGGGGAAUAUUGCACAAUGGGCGAAAGCCUGAUGCAGCAACGCCGCGUGAGCGAUGAAGGCCUUUGGGUCGUAAAGCUCUGUCGGAAGGGAAGAAAAAAAUGACGGUACCUUCCGAGGAAGCCCUGGCUAACUACGUGCCAGCAGCCGCGGUAAUACGUAGGGGGCAAGCGUUAUCCGGAAUUAUUGGGCGUAAAGGGUGCGUAGGUGGUCUGAUAAGCGUGGGGUGAAAGGCAAUAGCUUAACUAUUGUAAGCCUUGCGAACUGUCAGACUUGAGUGCAGGAGAGGAAAGUGGAAUUCCUAGUGUAGCGGUGAAAUGCGUAGAUAUUAGGAGGAACACCAGUGGCGAAGGCGACUUUCUGGACUGUAACUGACACUGAGGCACGAAAGCGUGGGGAGCAAACA
rnacentral:rRNA from 1 species